GCCCGGGUAGCUCAAUUGGCUAGAGCGUGCGGCUUUUACAAUAGGUGGAAAACCGCAAGGCUGGGGGUUCGAGACCCCCCUCGGGCG
rnacentral:tRNA from 1 species